rnacentral:piRNA from 1 species
UGAGUGUAAGGCCAGCCUGG